GAAAUGCGAUAAGUAAUGUGAAUUGCAGAAUUCAGUGAAUCAUCGAAUCUUUGAAUGCACAUUGCGCCCCCUGGUAUUCCGGGGGGCAUGCCUGUUCGAGCGUCAUUUCACCACUCAAGCCUCGCUUGGUAUUGGGCGACGCGGUCCGCCGCGCGCCUCAAAUCGACCGGCUGGGUCUUCCGUCCCCUCAGCGUUGUGGAAACUAUUCGCUAAAGGGUGCCGCGGGAGGUCACGCCGCAAAACAACCCCAUUUCUAAGGUUGACCUCGGAUCAGGUAGGGAUACCCGCUGAACUUAAGC
rnacentral:misc_RNA from 1 species